rnacentral:rRNA from 1 species
UACGUAGGGCGCAAGCGUUAUCCGGAAUUAUUGGGCGUAAAGAGCUCGUAGGCGGUCUGUUGCGUCCGCUGUGAAAACUCGGGGCUUAACCCCGAGCCUGCAGUGGAUACGGGCAGACUAGAGGUAGGUAGGGGAGAAUGGAAUUCCCGGUGUAGCGGUGAAAUGCGCAGAUAUCAGGAGGAACACCGGUGGCGAAGGCGGGACUCUGGGCCGAUACUGACGCUGAGGAGCGAAAGCGUGGGGAGCAAACAGG